rnacentral:rRNA from 1 species
UACGGAGGGGACUAGCGUUGUUCGGAAUUACUGGGCGUAAAGCGCACGUAGGCGGAUUUGUAAGUCAGGGGUGAAAUCCCGGGGCUCAACCUCGGAACUGCCUUUGAUACUGCAAAUCUCGAGUCCGGAAGAGGUGAGUGGAAUUCCUAGUGUAGAGGUGAAAUUCGUAGAUAUUGGGAAGAACACCGGUGGCGAAGGCGGCGACCUGGACCAAUACUGACACUGAGGAGCGAAAGCCAGGGGAGCAAACGGG